UAUUUGUGGGCAGAUCAACACAAAAAUGUUUGUGUAAAGUCCUGUCAAUAAUCCUCUGACACGCCAAACGGGAACUACUAUACCCAGAAUGCCUUGCGCAUAACAGGAAGUAGUCGUGAAGCGCGGCUGGUUACAAACAGCAAAUAUGGCGGCUCCCGUGCAAAUGAUGUUGGUGUCAGUAAGAAGAGGGAGCGUGUUGGGUGUCUUGGUUAGCUCAGCGAAGUCACAGUUCUCUGCUUCAGUGAAGUCACAAUUCUCUGCUUUCCAGUUCUCCAUACCACACAAUGCAAAGCAGCUGCACACCCACUCACGACUGUGCGCCAAACCUGAACAGGCCUCUAGGAUACCGGAGUACAUCCCCCAGCGCAAAGCCAAAAAUCCCCUGAAGAAAGUUGGUCUGGCAUGAGAUGCUACUAUUGUGGUGACGGCGUCAGGGGGAUCAUCAGGCUAAAGUGUUUUGUGUGCAGCAGCCAGAUCGCUAGACGCGUCUCCUUUACACCCUUAUAGGAACAUCGUGAGCCACUUCUGUAAUCUUUCCUACAUAUAUAUGGCCAUUGGCUUUCCAUCUGGCAUACUGCUCUUCCUGCUGGCAAAGAGGGAAGUGGAUAAAAAGCGUUUGGACCAGCUUAAAGUCUGGCAAAGAAUGAAAGAAGCCAAUCUUGGGGAGUAUGAGAGACCGAGAUUCAACAGGACAACAUAGAUGCCAUAGCACUGUUUGGUGCGGGGGGUGGGAGAAGAGACACAAUUUAGGAGAUUACAUGAUUCCCAGCUUUUAUUAUGAUAUAUUAUUCCUUGUUGUUUCAUAAACUUGUUGCACUUAGUAAAGUAAAGGAUUUUUUUUAA